AUCCAGCUGAAAAGUCCCAAAUAGAACGAAACACGCGUCCUGGAU
rnacentral:hammerhead_ribozyme from 1 species